AUAUGGGCUUUUAGAAACCCCUGAUGUCCCGCCGUAACGGAAUAUAAUAGGUGUGGGGUGCAAAACCAUUGGGGGCCGCAGCCAACGGAAUAAGUAGUCCACCUGGAAGUCGGUUGCAAAGAAUGAAUUCAAAGGAAUGGCGGGGACCCGCCCAAGCGGUGAGGCAUGUGGUUAAAUUGAAGCAACGCGAAGACCUUUACCUGAUCUGNACAUCCNCGUGACGGGGACUUAACCGUCUUUCUCUUCGGAGCACUGNAGACAGGUGGUGCAUGGUGUCGNUCAGCUCGUGUCGUGAGAUGUUGGGUUAAGUCCCGCAACGAGCGCAACCCUUAUCUUUAGUAGCCAGCAUNUGAGGUGGGCACUCUAGAGAGACUGCCAGGGACAACCUGGAGGAAGGUGGGGAUGACGUCAAAUCAUCAUGCCCCUUAUGACCAGGGCUACACACGUGCUACAAUGGCGUAAACAAAGGGAAGCAAGCAUGUGAAUGUGAGCAAAUCCCAAAAAUAACGUCUCAGUUCGGAUUGUAGUCUGCAACUCGACUACAUGAAGCUGGAAUCGCUAGUAAUCGCGAAUCAGAAUGUCGCGGUGAAUACGUUCCCGGGUCUUGUACACACCGCCCGUCACACCAUGGGAGUCAGUAACGCCCGAAGCCGGUGACCCAACCAAUCGGAGGGAGCCGUCGAAGGUGGGACCGAUAACUGGGGUGAAGUCGUAACAAGG
rnacentral:rRNA from 1 species